UACGUAGGGGGCAAGCGUUGUCCGGAAUUAUUGGGCGUAAAGAGCGUGUAGGCGGCCAGAUAAGUCCGCUGUGAAAUCUCGAGGCUCAACUUCGAGCUGUCGGUGGAAACUAUCUGGCUAGAGUCCGGAAGAGGAGAAUGGAAUUCCUGGUGUAGCGGUGAAAUGCGCAGAUAUCGUAAGGAAGACCAGUGGCGAAGGCGGGUCUCUGGACAGUUCCUGACGCUGAGGCACGAAGGUCAGGGGAGCAAACGGG
rnacentral:rRNA from 1 species